UUGAUUACGUCCCUGCCCUUUGUACACACCGCCCGUCGCUGCCCGGGACUGAGACAUUUCGAGAAACUUGGGGACCGUUGAUUGAGUGGUUUUCGGAUCAUUCUUUUAGUGGAAACCAAUUUAAUCGCAGUGUCUUGAACCGGACAAAAGUCGUAACAAGGUAGCUGUAGGUGAACCUGCUGCUGGAUCAUU
rnacentral:rRNA from 1 species